GGGGGGUUAGCUCAGUUGGGAGAGCGCGGCGUUCGCAACGCCGAGGUCGAGGGUUCG
rnacentral:tRNA from 1 species